rnacentral:lncRNA from 1 species
AUGCUUCUUUCUAAUUGUUUUUUUUAUAUGUAUUUUUUUUCCAGUGCUUUACACAUCUUCCACAGUUUUGGGUUCUUGUUCCUCCUACUUGAAAGCGUUUAUUUCAAGAAUGAGCCCACUCAUGAAAUUGCUGAUCCAUCCUGCUUACUAAGCACCUGUAGGCAAGGCAUGAGAAACACUUGGGUCAAACACACAGCUCUGUUAAGAUCUAAGGCUGCACCUGAAACACUUUAACAUACAUGGUCACUUACAGCUUCAGCUUGGAGACAUGUUCCUCACCCUGACCUGGGUGCAACUCUUAGUUAUCAUGUAGUGACAAUGUAAUUGGUGUCCUUGGAAUUAUGUGGUAGGCAUAAAUGCAAGUCCUCCUCAAGCAAGUCCUCUGUGACGUUCCUAGGGAGUUGCAGAGGCUUGGAGAAGACUGAAGGAAACAUCCAAGUUACCAAGAAAAAACCUAGGUGAGGGGAGGAGGAGAAUUCCCUUAACUAGCAUUUCCUUGGGUUUGGAACUAGGAAGCAGAUGGGGAAGACAGAUGUACAAGGAAAGACACCUGAACCAACAGGGAGGCAAGUCUAGCCCUAAGUGCAGGUGCUCUGCUGCUGUAUUUGCUCAAGAGCCACGAGAGUGCAGGGAUAAACGAGCUGGUGGCUGUGAGACUGAGCUGGAUGUAGGCACAUGUUGGCUGCUGAGGUAAAACAAUUUGAAAGUGAUUCUGAAAAGCAUCCCCAAGUGACUGGCAAGCCUAGCGUCUCUGGCUCACUAUAUGGACUUAAUAGCCACCACAAAGCUGUAGCAAUCACAUCACACACAUACGCAUCCUUACCCUAUGCCCGUAGUUGGUUAACAAAGCAUCUGCAGACAUAAUUAUUAUUGGGAAGGAGAAGAUUAUGCUAAGUGGCUCUUUCUUUAAUUCUACAUUGAUUAGAGGGCAAGUGAGGCUUUGCUCACGUCUCUCUUUCACAUCUGAGAGCUAAAAGCAGAUUAGUUGAACUAACCAGCUUACCACAGCUCGUAGAAAAACCAGCUUAACUAUAAAAACCUGCAGCAAUUUUGUUAUUAGUCACAGCAAUAGCAGAGUGCCUCUCCUUUCUCCUGCACAUCAGCUCAGUAUCCUCUGUCAUUGCUGCCCCUUGAGCCAGUUGCAGCUCUCACUUGCUAACUG